GGUGUGCGCAAGGUGGACCGGAUGUGAGUGCGCGGCUGCCAGGGCAAGCGGGAAGGUGUGUCUCGGAGGUGAGAAGCGAGGGCAAGCUGGGAGACAACAACUUUCGCGGCGACUUCACUGAGGCUAGCGCCCUGCGCGUUCCCGGGCAGUGCGCUCUCUCGGAGACCCGCUCCCCACCACACUCUCCGAGGAACUCAUGAGCUUUACAAUACUUUUCUUUUGAGGAAGGAGAUAAUAAAUAAUUGUCCAUUCUCACCUAGAUAUUUGCAGUCAUUCAGAGUUACAUGUUGUAAGAGAGAAACAGGUUGGCC